CUAGCUUUUCUCUUCUGUCAACCCCACACGCCUUUGGCACAAUGAAGUGGGUAACCUUUAUUUCCCUUCUUUUUCUCUUUAGCUCGGCUUAUUCCAGGGGUGUGUUUCGUCGAGAUGCACACAAGAGUGAGGUUGCUCAUCGGUUUAAAGAUUUGGGAGAAGAAAAUUUCAAAGCCUUGGUGCUGGUUGCCUUUGCUCAGUAUCUUCAGCAGUGUCCAUUUGAAGAUCAUGUAAAAUUAGUGAAUGAAGUAACUGAAUUUGCAAAAACAUGUGUUGCUGAUGAGUCAGCUGAAAAUUGUGACAAAUCACUUCAUACCCUUUUUGGAGACAAAUUAUGCACAGUUGCAACUCUUCGUGAAAAAUAUGGUGAAAUGGCUGACUGCUGUGCAAAACAAGAACCUGAGAGAAAUGAAUGCUUCUUGCAACACAAAGAUGACAACCCAAACCUCCCCCGAUUGGUGAGACCAGAGGUUGAUGUGAUGUGCACUGCUUUUCAUGACAAUGAAGGGACAUUUUUGAAAAAGUAAGUAAUCAGAUGUUUAUAGUUCAAAAUUAAAAAGUGUGGAGUAACUCCAUAGGCCAACACUCUAUAAAAAUUACCAUAACAAAAAUAUUUUCAACCUUAAGACUUGGAAGUUUUGUUAUGAUGAUUUUUUAAAGAAGUA
rnacentral:sRNA from 1 species